CGAAGCCUUUUUGCAAGGUGCAACACGUUGAUAGUAGAGCAAUGGAUCCCGCUCCGUCCAGCCGUCCAGAAGCAAGCCGCUAGAGCCGCGCCAUACGGUCACCUGGAAGCAAGCGACGGGGAGUCGGGACGUCUGCUGGCAGACGAACACCACCGCUAUACCGCGGCUAAAACCGGGACUGAGCAAUCCUUUGUUCCGUUUAGGAACUUUGUUCCCCACUGUGAAAAGGAUGGGUGUCUGACGUCAAUUCCGGGACCAAACAGGCUGAAGUGAUCGCAAGGGCUGAGUCACUUCACCCAACCUACCUACAAUCUCUUGGAAUAGCAGCACAACACAGAGCCAACAAGCUACUGUGCGUCAUCCGCAUUGGAGAGGAUAGACACUGGACAGGUGCAUCGGCAGCUCUGGAGCAGAUGGACACUGGACAGGUGCGUCAUUGGUACUGGAGCAGCUGGACACUGGACAGGUGCGUCGGCAGCACUGAAGAGGAUGGACACUGGACAUCCACAUAAUGGACACAGCACUGGCACUUCUGGAUUGACACAACACAGCCACUUUAUAUGAACACUAGCAGCACAGCCACUUUAGAUCGACACAGGCAGCACAGCCACUUGUAUAUGGAGUCUGGAUACAGCACAGCCACUUGUAUGGAUGGACACAGCACAGCCACUUGUAUGGAGUCUGAACACAGUCUGGACAAAGCACAGCCACUUGAACCAGCAAAGGACAGUGCAACAAACAGCAGCGUGCCUGAGAGUUAAAUGGUGCCAAGUCAUCAUCACGGGUCCAUUGUAUAGAAUCCAAAACCCACAAUAAUCCAACACUGGGAUGAUGGCAUUUUGCCUUAAUUUAGAAUCUGAGUAUUGUGGGAAACCUGAGUUGUGGCUCGGUUUGACUCGAAUACCAGAAGUUCAGACGGGCUCAGAUUCCAAGGAAUCCAAACCGCUCAUCUCUGGUUCCUGCUAACCACUUUUCUGUCUUUUUUAAACUUCCAGUUACUUUUCUGCCUUCUGAUUUGGUUAGAUUUAUUCAGCUUCAUAAUUCCUGCUAUACCGCUCAUAAUUUGUGCUCUUGCCCAAGUCUCAGACGACCAUUUAAAAGAAAAAAAGACAAAAGUUUGUAGUUUCAGCACAUGUGGACUCGUUACCACAUUUGUUCAAGAAUCAUCUCUAAGUUUUGUUAUUUGAGCAUGACUUGGUGAUUUGGGAAAUCACAGGAGAAAGAAUUAGGGAGCUAGCACAAGAUACACAGAUUUUAAUGAGUCAUUUACAGUCAACUUUGCCCACUGAAAUGGCAAUCCAAACCACAAAAUUCAGAUUUAAAAUCCGAAAUCCGACACUACGGGAAGAUCCAAAAGCAGGACUUAGUUCGACUUGAAGCCCCUACAUUCAGUAACGAGUGACGGCCGCGGCGCUGUUCCCCAGGCAACGGAAUAGAACGCGUAUGGCUUCAGCGUCUCCGAGGCAACCGUCUGACAGGAAACGCGUCAGUAUGGGACCCUCCUCACUACCGGCCGGGCGGGAGCAGCGGGCGUCCGUGCACCGGACUGCACACACUCGUAUUUAAAGGUCCACCAGCUGUUGUUUGGCCAUUCCUGGUGGCCUUCUUGCACCCCACCACAUCCUUAAAUGCAUACUGAGCCAAUGACACCUCCUUGUGAACAGCCAAAUAGUACUUUCUCGCUUACAAGAGUCACAAUACAGCAACGCCACCAACAGCCUGAGCCUCAGUCCCUCGCCAGCUGCUACUCCACCCAGGCAUGGGGCCUGCACCGGAGGUGGCACAAGGUCCCCAAGCCCGAAACCUACUAAAAGGCAAAGUUAAAAAAGCAGUAUUCACUUAAACCUUUACUUUACACCAUUACUAAUUUUAGUGAUAUUAUACUUAUUGUUUUGCUCUAUAAAUCAUUGUUUUAUAUUUCUAUGAGCACUAUAAGGCUUUUGCCUACAAAACCAUUUGAAAAAGGUGUGACUUAAUAAAAGAGCAACACUUUUUGUCUGUUA